rnacentral:tRNA from 1 species
ACGGACGUGUGCCCGAGUAUCUUAAGGGUUACUUUGAUAGAGUAAGUAACAGAGGUUAAAAUCCUCUCACCUCCUUA